rnacentral:rRNA from 1 species
CCUACGGGGGGCAGCAGUGGGGAAUAUUGGGCAAUGGGCGCAAGCCUGAACCAGCCAAGUCGCGUGAGGGAAUAAGGCCCUACGGGUCGUAAACCUCUUUUGCCGGGGAGCAAGGGCCGGGACGCGUCCCGGCCCGGAGAGUACCCGGAGAAAAAGCAUCGGCUAACUCCGUGCCAGCAGCCGCGGUAAUACGGAGGAUGCGAGCGUUAUCCGGAUUUAUUGGGUUUAAAGGGUGCGUAGGCGGGCUUUUAAGUCAGCGGUAAAAAUUCGGGGCUCAACCCCGUCCGGCCGUUGACACUGGGGGC